GGUAGGCCGUAGGAGGGGAGGGUUAAGGCCCGGUUCCUAAGGAAUAACCACUGGAAACGGUGAGUAAUACCUUAUACGCCCUUCGGGGGAAAGAUUUAUCGGUAAAGGAUCAGCCCGCGUUAGAUUAGAUAGUUGGUGGGGUAAUGGCCUACCAAGUCUACGAUCUAUAGCUGGUUUUAGAGGAUGAUCAGCAACACUGGGACUGAGACACGGCCCAGACUCCUACGGGAGGCAGCAGUGGGGAAUCUUAGACAAUGGGCGCAAGCCUGAUCUAGCCAUGCCGCGUGAGUGAUGAAGGUCUUAGGAUCGUAAAGCUCUUUCGCCAGGGAUGAUAAUGACAGUACCUGGUAAAGAAACCCCGGCUAACUCCGUGCCAGCAGCCGCGGUAAUACGGAGGGGGUUAGCGUUGUUCGGAAUUACUGGGCGUAAAGCGUACGUAGGCGGAUUAGAAAGUAUGGGGUGAAAUCCCAGGGCUCAACCCUGGAACUGCCUCAUAAACUACUAGUCUAGAGUUCGAGAGAGGUGAGUGGAAUUCCGAGUGUAGAGGUGAAAUUCGUAGAUAUUCGGAGGAACAUCAGUGGCGAAGGCGGCUCACUGGCUCGAUACUGACGCUGAGGUACGAAAGUGUGGGGAGCAAACAGGAUUAGAUACCCUGGUAGUCCACACCGUAAACGAUGAAUGCCAGUCGUCGGGUAGCAUGCUAUUCGGUGACACACCU
rnacentral:rRNA from 1 species